rnacentral:rRNA from 1 species
UGGCAGCAAUGCCGCGUGAGCGAAGAAGGCCUUCGGGUCGUAAAGCUCUUUUGUUAGAGAAGAACAAGUACGAGAGUAACUGCUCGUACCUUGACGGUACCUAACCAAAAAGCCACGGCUAACUACGUGCCAGCAGCCGCGGUAAUACGUAGGUGGCAAGCGUUAUCCGGAAUUAUUGGGCGUAAAGCGCGCGCAGGCGGUCUCUUAAGUCUGAUGUGAAAGCCCACGGCUCAACCGGGGAGGGUCAUUGGAAACUGGGAGACUUGAGUGCAGGAGAGAAAAGUGGAAUUCCACGUGUAGCGGUGAAAUGCGUAGAGAUGUGGAGGAACACCAGUGGCGAAGGCGGCUUUUUGGCCUGUAACUGACGCUGAGGCGCGAAAGCGUGGGGAGCAAACAGGAUUAGAUACCCUGGUAGUCCACGCCGUAAACGAUGAGUGCUAGGUGUUGGGGGGUUCCACCCUCAGUGCUGAAGUUAACACAUUAAGCACUCCGCCUGGGGAGUACGACCGCAAGGUUAAAACUCAAAGGAAUUGACGGGGGCCCGCACAAGCAGUGGAGCAUGUGGUUUAAUUCGAAGCAACGCGAAGAACCUUACCAGGUCUUGACAUCCUUUGACCACUCUAGAGAUAGAGCUUUCCCCUUCGGGGGACAAAGUGACAGGUGGUGCAUGGUUGUCGUCAGCUCGUGUCGUGAGAUGUUGGGUUAAGUCCCGCAACGAGCGCAACCCUUGACUUAUUUGCCAGCAUUCAGUUGGGCACUCUAAGGUGACUGCCGGUGACAAACGGAGGAAGGUGGGGAUGACGUCAAUCUCAUGCCCCUUA